rnacentral:rRNA from 1 species
GACGAACGCUGGCGGCGUGCUUAACACAUGCAAGUCGAACGAAGUGGCGAACGGGUGAGUAAUACGUGGGUAACCUGCCCUACUUUUUGGGAUAAGCCUUGGAAACGGGGUCUAAUACCGAAUAAAGGGGGAUGGGCUCGCGGACUAUCAGCUUGUUGGUGGGGUGAUGGGCUACCAAGGCGGUGACGGGUAGCCGGCCUGAGAGGGUGACCGGCCACAUUGGGACUGGGAUACGGCCCAGACUCCUACGGGAGGCAGCAGUGGGAGAUAUUGCACAAUUGGCGAAAGCCUGAUGCAGCGACGCCGCGUGAGGGGUGAAGGCUUUCGGGUUGUAAACCUCUGUCGCUAUCGAACGGGUAGGUUGAGAAGAAGCGCCGGCUAACUACGUGCCAGCAGCCGCGGUAAUUC